CCUACGGGUGGCAGCAGUGAGGAAUAUUGGUCAAUGGGCGCGAGCCUGAACCAGCCAAGUCGCGUGAGGGAUGACGGUCCUACGGAUUGUAAACCUCUUUUGCCGGGGAGCAAGCGUGCGUUCGUGAACGCGCGUCGAGAGUACCCGGAGAAAAAGCAUCGGCUAACUCCGUGCCAGCAGCCGCGGUAAUACGGAGGAUGCGAGCUUUAUCCGGAUUGAUUGGGUUUCAGGGGUGCGCAGGCGGUCUGUUAAGUCAGCGGUCAAAGCCCGGGGCUCAACCCCGGCCCGCCGUUGAAACUGGCAGUCUCGAGUUGGAGAGAAGUAUGCGGAAUGCGCGGUGUAGCGGUGAAAUGCAUAGAUAUCGCGCAGAACUCCGAUUGCGAAGGCAGCAUGCCGGCUCCACACUGACGCUGAGGCACGAAAGCGUGGGUAUCGAACAGGAUUAGAUACCCGUGUAGUC
rnacentral:rRNA from 1 species